ensembl:lncRNA
GAUGUACUCAUCUGCACAGUGAUCUCUUACUGUCUUACUGAAACAUGAGCACAUCUGAAUGUGUGUGUCCAUGUCCAUGUGUGUCUAUGCAUGUGCUUCUGCAAAUGUAGGAAUUAACUCCAUUUCUGUAUUUCCCUUCAUAGGAAGGGCUGAUUUCAUGCACUUAACCAGGAGUUUAUCUGACUCUGCAGCUUGAGAAGUCCAGAGUUAUGAGUUACAAUUCGUGAACUUCAAGACAGCCUAUGGUGUGUAGAUACAUGGCCAGAUCUGGGAAAGGAAAUCAGCACAGCACCCCAGGGGUCAGUGGAGCUUCAAUACCCAUCGAGGACCUGCCCAUGCUCACCAGGAGCUGGAUGAAGCCCUUCCCUGUUCCAGUGUUAAACAUCAGCACCACAACUGCAGGGUGAAUAUGCAGCUGGGAAGAUUUGAGCCUUGCCACAAAACUUGUGUAGCCCUGGCACUUGAGAUGCAGGGCCAGCUUGUCCAACUCCCAGACAAAGAGCUGUUGUUCAAAAUACAUGGAGGGAACCUGGAUUUCCACAUGGAAUGUCUGCUGCAGUGUGUGAGGUAACCUCAUUUACACCCACCAGUCCCCAUCAGUAUUUGUGCUGUCUGCUGAUAGGGAAGGCUCCAGGAACUGCUCAAAAAAAAGGCCUACAGAGCUGGCUCCUUGCCUUGCUAGUUU